rnacentral:rRNA from 1 species
AAUUGGACAUGNACGAAAUCUGACCAGCCAUGCCGCGUGCAGGAUGACGGCCCUAUGGGUUGUAAACUGCUUUUAUACANGAAGAAACNCUCCCACGUGUGGGGGCUUGACGGUACUGUANGAAUAAGGAUCGGCUAACUCCGUGCCAGCAGCCGCGGUAAUAN